rnacentral:rRNA from 1 species
UACAGCGGGGGCAAGCGUUGUUCGGAAUUACUGGGCGUAAAGGGCGCGUAGGCGGCCUGUUAAGUCGAACGUGAAAUCCCCGGGCUCAACCCGGGAACUGCGUCCGAUACUGGCAGGCUUGAAUCCGGGAGAGGGAUGCGGAAUUCCAGGUGUAGCGGUGAAAUGCGUAGAUAUCAGGAGGAACACCGAUGGCGAAGGCAGCUCGCUGGGACGGUACUGACGCUGAGGCGCGAAAGCGUGGGGAGCAAACAGG